AGGGUGUGCCGCUGCAGGGACCGCCGCCGCCACUGCUGCGGGGGCCGGGGUGGGCUGUGCCACCUCCCCACUGGGCCCAGGAAGGCUAUGCCGCCGCUGCCACUGGGGCUGGGGCCAGGGCCGGCUGCGCGGCCUCCCCGCUGGGCCUGGGCAGGCCGGGCUGCACCACUGCCGCCGUGGGGGCCGGGGCCAGGGCCAGGGCAAGUCGGGCUGCGCUGCUGCUGCGGGAGCCGGGGCUGGGGCAGGCUGCACUGCCUUCCUGCUGGGCCUGGGCAGGCCGGGCUGCGCCGCUGCUGCCGGGGUGGGCCGGGCUGCGCUGCCUCCCCGUGUAUACGCCGCUGCGGGGAAUACACGGGUGCAGAGUAUACACGGACUUAUUUACAAAAAUACAAUUUUCCGCGGGUUAUACGUGGAUGCGGCUUAUACCCAUGGGCGGGAUAUAUGCGUGAAAAUAUGGUAAUCUCAGGGCUAUUUGUUUCCUGGUUUGCUUGAAUUGAAAACUGUGACGGACUAAGGCUAUAGCUUCGCUUAAGUAGGUCAUUCAUUUGUCUCUGUUUUACUGACAAAUUGUUGGUGUUGAUGGUGUUAAUUGCCAAUAAGUAAUCAGGGAGGACCUGUGACAACAUGCUACCUCGUUGGGUCAGAGAAGAGAUUAAAUGAUUUGUUCAAGAAGUGAUGAGACACAAAACAACCAAAGUCCCAGAGAUUCUAAUUAAGCAUCUUCACCACAGAACCACCCUUUCUUCUCCAGUUACUAAGUUGAGCUGACUUCACAAGAAUGCCCUAAACAGUCACGUGGUGAUGUUGUGAUCUGUAUUGCAUCUUAGAAGUGGGAAAGGUGAAUGCUCCCUAUGCUGUACAAGACAUGAAAGAUACUCUGCAAUGACCAGUGCUGCAGAACAUGGCUAAAACUGAUUUUAUCAAGGACAGGUAACUUGAGUUCAGAGUAAUGCUACAUGUUCUGGCUUUUAAAUCAGAGGUCCUGCCUCCUUUUGCUCUACAUCAGGGGUUUUCAACCUUUUUUGGUUUACAGAAGUUGGACAAACUUGCUGCUGUCUGUACAAGUACUAUACCCUGCUGAAAUGGUAUGGAUUCACCGCUGGAGUGGCAUAGUGGCAGCGUACCAGCUGGCAUACAGUACUUACAGCCAGAUAAAAAGGACAUUUUGAUCACAGAUUCUAAGGCAAACUUUUAGAAUUACAGAAAGUGCUAUCAGUUGUAAUUGGGUAUCACAGUAGUUUAACAAGAGAAGUUUUGCAGCAAAGAGUUUUUAUCAACCUGCUUUGAAGACAGUUCAGACUGUAGACAGGAAUGAAAAGCAUUAUACACUAGGGCUGUAACGAAACAGGCCAUUUUUGAUUCAGAUUCGGCCUGAAUCGGGGACAAUGAUUCGAUUCGUUGAUUCAGAUCACUGUCCCCAACUCGAUUCAGCCUAAUACAAAUCUGAAGAUUCGAUGCUGAUUUGGAGAAUCAGCGAUUCGGCCAUAGACGCAGCUUUAAAUGUUUUUCUGCAUACCUUGAGGUAUCAGGCGCAGUUCGUGAAUGCUGCCAUGGUGGGAUGGAUGGAGCAUCCCACAGGAGCAUGUGGGGGCUCUGCGUGCUUGGCAGCAAAUCUGGAAGUGGACUGGCUGCAGGGGGACCUCGGGUACCCCUCCAGAUCCAGGAGGCUCCAGUUGCCCUGCGCAUUCCCCGAUGGACCCAGAAGCGGACCAGAAAUGCUGAGCGCACUGGGGAGCCCCCAUGCUCCUGUGGGAUGUUCCAUCUGCCCCAUCAUCUCAGCAUUCACAAGCUGCCUGGUACCUUGAGGUAUGUAGAAAAACAUUUAAAGCUGUGUCUAUGUCUGAAUUAUCAACUAUUUCCAAAUCACUCCGAAUUGAUUCGGAGAGAUUACAGGGUCUACUGAUUUGAUUCAGAGAUUCAGCCACCGAAUCGCGCCGAAUCUCUGCCAAAUAAAAUCGGGGACUGAAGCUUCGCACAGCCCUACUACACACCUUAAUUAAAAGUUGUAGAAAAAUGCUGUGUAACAUUUAAAAAGCAUGCAGUCCUAUAACUGAAAAUCUGUAGCAAAAUGCACACAAUGACAAAGAUUUAAAAUUUCACAUGCCACCUCAGUGCUGUCAGGUAUAGCCUUCUUCAUGUACCAGCAUGCCAUCUUAACUUUUAUAUUUCAAAUAUAAAAUAUAUAUGUUAUAUAGUAUAAUGACUUGGAUCAAAACUCGAGCUCUGCCAGUUGAGAUGCUUGUUUUAGGAAGAACUUCCUUUUUAAGUCGCAGGAAAAAACAAAUCAAAAUAAACACCUAGUUAUACCAAAUACCAAAAUGUAAGACAAGUAUUCCUAUAUUCAGGGUUUCUGAACUCGGAUACAAGACUAAUGUUUCUCAAACUAUUGAUACCUGGGGCACACUUUUUUUCUGGAUUAAAAUUGGUGACACACUUCACUCUUAAGCCUGAAAAAGAGUGUGUGUGUGUGAGAGAGAGAGAUUUGGAUGUAUAAAAAUAUUUGAAAAAUGUAUGUAUUUUUCAUAAUAUGUAACAGAUUUCAUUCACCUGCCAGAGUAAAUCAUCCCAGUGCUGCAAUGCACUCUUUUUUUUUUUUUUUUAAGACACCAAAUAAAUCUUUCUUUA